rnacentral:lncRNA from 1 species
CCUGUCUUUAUCCAUCUUUCCAGUCUUCUGCCCUGGCCUGCGAGGAUCCCCUGAUACUUCUCCUCCCAGACUGACCUUGGCCUUUUUCUGCCCAGACUGACAUCGAACCCCAGUCUGAAGUGAGAAGGACAGUCGCCUGUGGGUUCUCAUCUGCCAUCCUUGCAGUCUUUGGCCCCGGACCAAGAUCCCAAAGGUGUCUUCUUCUUCAAGGUGGACCUUGACCAUUCUCCUCAGACCGAGAUCUGGGCCCAAGAUUCCAGAAUUCCCUGGGUCUCAUUGACCAUCUUCUCCACCUACCAAGAUCAAGAAAGGCAUCUCCUCUCAGACUUUUCCUUGGCACUUGCCUGCCCCCGACCCCCUGUGGAACCAGGCCCUAAGCUCCUGGGCCACCCAAUCCUGUAUCUCCCACCCCCACGCCCACCCCCACUGCUGUCCCAGGAAGGCAUCUCCACCACUGACUGACAUCCAAAGUGGCUCUGUGUGAG